ensembl:snRNA LOC120101961 U6 spliceosomal RNA
GUGUGAUUCAGCAGUACACAUACUAAAAUUGGAACAAUACAGAGAAGAAUAGAUGUCCCUUGUGCAAGGAUAGCAUAUAAAUUCAUGAAGUGAUCUAUAUUUUU